UACGGAGGGUGCGAGCGUUGAUCGGAAUAACUGGGCGUAAAGGGCACGCAGGCGGGAUUUUAAGUGAGGUGUGAAAUCCCCGGGCUUAACCUGGGAAUAGCAUUUCAGACUGGGAGUCUAGAGUACUUUAGGGAUGGGUAGAAUUCCACGUGUAGCGGUGAAAUGCGUAGAGAUGUGGAGGAAUACCGAAGGCGAAGGCAGCACCUUGGUAAUGUACUGACGCUCAUGUGCGAAAGCGUGGGGAGCAAACAGG
rnacentral:rRNA from 1 species